UACGGGGGGAGCAAGCGUUGUUCGGAUUUACUGGGCGUAAAGAGCUCGUAGGCGGUCUGUCGCGUCUGCCGUGAAAACCCGAGGCUUAACCUCGUGGCUUGCGGUGGAUACGGGCAGACUAGAGGUAGGUAGGGGAGAAUGGAAUUCCCGGUGUAGCGGUGAAAUGCGCAGAUAUCGGGAGGAACACCGGUGGCGAAGGCGGUUCUCUGGGCCUUACCUGACGCUGAGGAGCGAAAGCGUGGGGAGCGAACAGG
rnacentral:rRNA from 1 species